rnacentral:rRNA from 1 species
GAGUUUGAUCCUGGCUCAGGAUGAACGCUAGCGGGAGGCUUAACACAUGCAAGUCGAGGGGUAACAGGGGUAGCAAUACCUGCUGACGACCGGCGCACGGGUGAGUAACGCGUAUGCAACCUGCCUUCUACCGGGGGAUAGCUUUCGGAAACGGAAAUUAAUACCCCAUAACACUGCACCCCGGCAUCGGGGAGCAAUUAAAGCUCCGGCGGUAGAAGAUGGGCAUGCGUGACAUUAGCUAGUUGGUGAGGUAACGGCUCACCAAGGCAACGAUGUUUAGGGGACCUGAGAGGGUGAUCCCCCACACUGGUACUGAGACACGGACCAGACUCCUACGGGAGGCAGCAGUGAGGAAUAUUGGUCAAUGGGCGCAAGCCUGAACCAGCCAUCCCGCGUGCAGGAAGACGGCGCUAUGCGUUGUAAACUGCUUUUCUGAAGGAAGAAUAGUUCCUACGUGUAGGGAUUUGACGGUACUUCAGGAAUAAGCAUCGGCUAACUCCGUGCCAGCAGCCGCGGUAAUACGGAGGAUGCAAGCGUUAUCCGGAUUCAUUGGGUUUAAAGGGUGCGUAGGCGGAACAUAUAAGUUCAGUGGUGAAAUUUUCCCGGGCUUAACCGGGAGGCUGCCAUUGAUACUGUAAGUCUUGAGUUCGGCUGGGGUAGGCGGAAUGUGUAAUGUAGCGGUGAAAUGCUUAGAUAUUACACAGAACACCGAUUGCGUAGGCAGCUUACUAGACCGAUACUGACGCUGAGGCACGAAAGCGUGGGGAGCGAACAGGAUUUAGAUACCCUGGUAGUCCACGCCGUAAACUAUGAUUACUCGUUGUUGGCGAUACACAGUCAGCGACCAAGCGAAAGCGAUAAGUAAUCCACCUGGGGAGUACGCUCGCAAGAGUGAAACUCAAAGGAAUUGACGGGGGCCCGCACAAGCGGUGGAACAUGUGGUUUAAUUCGAUGAUACGCGAGGAACCUUACCUGGGCUUAAAUGUAGAGUGCAUGAUCGGGAAACUGAUCUUUCCUUCGGGACUCUCUGCAAGGUGCUGCAUGGUUGUCGUCAGCUCGUGCCGUGAGGUGUCGGGUUAAGUCCCAUAACGAGCGCAACCCUUAUCAUUAGUUGCCAUCGGGUCAAGCCGGGGACUCUAAUGAAACUGCCACCGUAAGGUGAGAGGAAGGUGGGGAUGACGUCAAAUCAGCACGGCCCUUAUGUCCAGGGCUACACACGUGUUACAAUGGCCGGUACAGAGGGCAGCUACCUGGUGACAGGAUGCGAAUCUCAAAAGCCGGUCCAAGUUCGGAUCGAAGUCUGCAACUCGACUUCGUGAAGCUGGAAUCGCUAGUAAUCGCGCAUCAGCCAUGGCGCGGUGAAUACGUUCCCGGGCCUUGUACACACCGCCCGUCAAGCCAUGGAAGCUGGGGGUGCCUGAAGUUCGUAACCGCAAGGAGCGACCUAGGGUAAAACCGGUGACUGGGGCUAAGUCGUAACAAGGUAGCCGU